CCGAGUUCGAUUCUCGGAACGCCCC
rnacentral:siRNA from 1 species